UAGAAAAAAGAUUCCUCUCUUAUCUACUCCAUUGAUUUUCGGUACAGCCCAUGCUAGAGGAGAGAGUGACCUUUCAAAUAUCAUCACCAUUAUCAUUAUUAUAAAGAAAAGAUAGCAUUCAUUUUCUUUUUCAUUCUAAGAACCAAGAAAUAAAACAAAUAAAGUUUCAUUAGAGCAAGAUAAGAAAGAAACAGAAACAGUAAACACUCAAGCCACUUGCAAUGGAGAAUAUGAAGACUCACGGUGGCUCAGCCGAAGCUUCACGGCGGCCGGAGCUUCGCCGGCACGGUGGUCGGAGGAAUUAGCAAUCAAAGGAUGGAAUCGUUAUCAGAGGCUCAUUCUCAACCUUUUGGAAUGAAGAAGUGAAGAAACAGUGGUGGUUUGAAAUUCCGGUACGGUGGUUUGAAGUUCCGGCGAGGAGUUUUAGAAUUCCGGCGAGAGAGUUUUGAACUCAGAAAACCUUUGUUGAAGAAAGUGGUGAAUUGUUGUGUUGCGUGUAGCUUGAGAAAAAAAACGGUGAGUUCGAAUCACAACCAUCAGAAGGAUCUAGGAAGAUGAAAUCGAGAAAUUGAUCUUUGGAAAAUUGGUGGAAAAGCUUGCAACAUGGAGAAAAUUAGUGUAGAAUCCUUGAAUAUUCUUGUAGUUCAAUUAGUCAUUAGAAAAAAACAUUGAAUUGUUCUUGUAGUAUAAAAGGUGGACUUUGAAGUUCAUUCGAAAAAAUUCAUAUCAUUGAAUGGCAUUUGAACUACAUUUGUACGAUGUGGAACUUGAAAUGUGAAUUUGGAACAAUGUUGCAUGAA